rnacentral:rRNA from 1 species
CGGUGUUUAACUGGCGUGAUGUGGGACGUCCUACCGGUGGGCUUAGCCUCGCGAGGGGCGGCCCAACUAAUAUCCCGUCGCGGUGCUCUUUACUGAGUGUCGAGUCGGGCCGGUACGUUUACUUUGAACAAAUUAGAGUGCUUAAAGCAGGCUAUCCUCGCCUGAAUACUGCGUGCAUGGAAUAAUGGAAUAGGACCUCGGUUCUAUUUUGUUGGUUUUCGGAACCCCCGAGGUAAUGAUUAAUAGGGACAGAUGGGGGCAUUCGUAUUGCGACGUUAGAGGUGAAAUUCUUGGAUCGUCGCAAGACGGACAGAAGCGAAAGCAUUUGCCAAAAAUGUUUUCAUUAAUCAAGAACGAAAGUUAGAGGUUCGAAGGCGAUCAGAUACCGCCCUAGUUCUAACCAUAAACGAUGCCAGCUAGCGAUCCGCCGAAGUUCCUCCGAUGACUCGGCGGGCAGCUUCCGGGAAACCAAAGCUUUUGGGUUCCGGGGGAAGUAUGGUUGCAAAGCUGAAACUUAAAGGAAUUGACGGAAGGGCACCACCAGGAGUGGAGCCUGCGGCUUAAUUUGACUCAACACGGGAAACCUCACCAGGCCCAGACACCGGAAGGAUUGACAGAUUGAUAGCUCUUUCUUGAUUCGGUGGGUGGUGGUGCAUGGCCGUUUUUAGUUGGUGGAGAGAUUUGUCUGGUUAAUUCUGAUAACGAACGAGACUCUAGCCUGCUAAAUAGGCGUACCUUAUGGUAUCGCGAAGGCCCCCGGCUUCGGCCGGUGGGUUUUUACUACCAACGUACAAACAAAUCUUUUUGAGGGACAGGCGG